CAUAACAUUUAGUAUUAAUAAUUACCUUUGUAAAUUUAUUAUAAUAAACAGAUAAACAAUAUUUUUGUUAUAUUGUUUCAUUGCUUUAUUCUUCUAUCUGAAUAUUCAUGUAUUUUUCUAAUUAAGUAAAUAUUUAUAUCCAUUUUUUGUAACACUUAAGGACCAUAGACAUUCUACUUUUAGCAACGGCCAUUUUGCCAAUAAAAACCUAACCAGUGAAGGUCAAGUUUGUCCCGGGGAAAGUUAAACUACGUUAAACUGUCAUUGGACCCGCAAC